rnacentral:lncRNA from 1 species
GAAACUGAAAAGAAUUAAAUUGGAGUUUAAACGAACCCGUUAGGAAUUUAAUCGGGUGAUAAGACGAAUUAGGCCAAUACCGGGUUUAGAUAGUUACCAGUGCAUUUUUGCAUUCCAUAUCAUGCAUUGGUAGUCUAAAUUAGUUUAAUUUUGAUUUAGUACCAACUUGGUGAAAUUCUCGAUUUUGUACUGUGUCAAGGUGGUGAGUCCUCCAAUAAAGGCAAGAAAAUUGCAUCCGAGGACCAGUAGACAGAGUGCUUCGAAAGUCUGCAUUCUAGACAUUGUGAGUAAACUUAUUAUCGUCUUAAUUAUCUAGAGUAGUUUUAUACAACUGUGUGAUUUUAUGAAAAAUGGGUUUAAAUGGUAAAUUGUUAUGUUUUAAGGGAAAUUGUGAUUUUAUAAAAUGAUUUUAUAAAUUUUCUGAAAAAUCGAAUAUUGGUUUUGAAAAUAGAGUAAUUGGAGACUGCUAGUUUGUGUUGCAAAUUUAUGGUUCUGAAUUGAAUGGCUUAUGACAAUAAAUGAGCAUGAAUGGCUAAACUGAUUUUGGUGUUAUAAUUAUUUAUACUGUGUAUUCAGCCUUGAGAGGCUAGGUUGCGAUAAAUUGCCAUGACAUGCUAGAAUGAAUUUUAUUGAUUGGUGGAUUAUAUAUUAAUUAUUUACUGCAGAGGGGGUUCCGUGGACCAGCCUAUUAGAGGGGCACGGUAAACUCCAUUAUAUUAUUACCUCGAACGGAGAGGCGCGUAGGGUAUCUCCUGGGGUAUAGCUUAGGGUUCACUUCACGCCAAACCACCACGUGAAGGGGAACUCAGCCAACGCCAAGGAACGGCUGUAUUUUUCUCAAACUAAAAUAUAUUUUAAGUGUAUACAAAAUUUUAACAGCCUUGGCGGACUCGGUUAGAUGCCCUGCGCAAGGUAUCACCGAGUAUGAGUUUUGGCACGAGCCAAAGUUUUAAGAAAUUCAUAAGCCAAGUUGAUUACUCGAUUUUUAUGGAUUGAUUUUAUUUGGUUGAAAUGAGUUGAAUGGUAAUGAAAUUACAGUAUGAUGAUUUAUUUUAAUUGUCUCCAUUUACUCGACUUUAGAUAGUUUAGAUGGUAUCUGUUUACUCACUGGGAUUUUAUAAUCUCACCACCCUCAUUUCCUCACAUUUCAGGCUCAGGGAAUUCCGUAGUUAGCUGACUUGAACAAGGACCUUCAUUUGGACUCGAAUCGGUAAAAGCUGUAGGUUUCCAGCUUCCGAUGCAUUUUGGAUAGAUAUGGGCCCACGUGUCACUGUAAAAGAAAUUUUAUGCUUUGGUUAUUUGCUUUAUAGUAUAUAUGAAUAUAAUUAUCUUUUACGCUAUAAGAAUUAUGUACCGAUAGUUUUAUGAAAAUUAUUUUACAAGAAAAUAGUUUAUUUUAUUGAAUAUUUUUAUCAUAUUCAAAUGGUCAAAUUUUCACUUCAAAUGAACGUUUUAGAUACUUAAUUUUUUUUUAUCAUUAAAUAUAUAUUUUCGGCUUACCUACUACAUUUUUAGCAAGUUUCGAGGUUUUCGACAAAAAUGACGAAAAUGCCCCUG